rnacentral:lncRNA from 1 species
GAGUUUCGCUCUUGUUGCCCAGACUGCUCACCGCAACCUCCGUCUCCUGGGUUCAAGAGAUUCUCCUGCCUCAGCCUCCCGAGUAGCUGGGAUUACAGGCAUGUGCCAGCACACCUGGCUAAUUUUUGUAUUCUUAGUAGAGACGGAGUUUCUCCAUGUUGGCCAGGCUGGUCUCGAAUUCCCGACCUCAAGUGAUCUGCCCGCCUCGGCCUCCCGAAGUGCUGCAAUUACAGGCGUGAGCCACCGCGCCCGGCCCAGAAACAUGUUUUGAAGGGCAGGCACCGCACAGGGUGCUGGAGACAGACUGAAGGAAACUGCACCUCUCAGUGACUCAAGAGAGAUUUGUUGAGUAUCUACCAAGUGCCUAGCGCUGUUCUUGUCCCUGGGGAUUCAGCCUCUGGAUUGGGACCUGCAGCCCAGAGAAGGGAAAUGGGGGAAAUCCAAGUUCCCAGGUACAUCAUGAUACCCUUCCAGCCUCUCCUUCCUGGAAAUUGCCAUCACCAGCGGCCAUAGCACCCCCAUGGGACCUGGGGGAUGGAGUUGGAAGCCCCCUCCGGCAACACUGGCCAGAUUGGAGAGACCAGCAGGGAAGCUCCCUCCUACCCCCAGGGAGGCUGAAGCCAGCUCUCCAUGGGCACGAAACCUGGAACCCAGGACCCUGGGGGGCAGCUGCACGGUAUUCCAGCACAAGGAUGUAUGGUAAUUUACAGAUGCACUUCUUGGCAGAGGGACCUUCAGGUUGCUUCCAGCCCUUUCUCAAGACAGGCCGUGCCGCAGUGAGUCAUCUGUACAAAAGCCCUUUCACACAUGCACGAGCGCUGCUGCGGAAUACAUUCCCAGAAGGGACUUGGGAGGACUGGGGGGCAAAAGAUACAUGCAGUGGUGUCUUAUUAUUGUUAUUUUAGAGACAGGGUCCUGCUCUGUCACCCAGGCUGGAGUACAAUGUACAAUGGUGUCAUCAUAGCUGACUGCAGCCUCGACCUCCUGGGCUUAAGCCAUCCUCCCGCCUUGGCCUCCUGCGUGGCUGGGACUACAGGCACGCACCACCGUGCCCAGCUUGCAGUGGUCAUUUUGUCAGCUCUGUCAGCUUGUCCUUCUUGGAGACUGUGCCAGGUACCAGGCCCCCACACAGUCAACAGGGCUGUUUCUCCUCAGGCUCACCAGCCCCUGGUUUCCACC